UUUAUGGAGAGUUUGAUCCUGGCUCAGGAUGAACGCUGGCGGCGUGCCUAAUACAUGCAAGUCGAGCGAACGGACGAGAAGCUUGCUUCUCUGAUGUUAGCGGCGGACGGGUGAGUAACACGUGGAUAACCUACCUAUAAGACUGGGAUAACUUCGGGAAACCGGAGCUAAUACCGGAUGAUAUUUUGAACCGCAUGGUUCAAAAGUGAAAGACGGUCUUGCUGUCACUUAUAGAUGGAUCCGCGCUGCAUUAGCUAGUUGGUAAGGUAACGGCUUACCAAGGCAACGAUGCAUAGCCGACCUGAGAGGGUGAUCGGCCACACUGGAACUGAGACACGGUCCAGACUCCUACGGGAGGCAGCAGUAGGGAAUCUUCCGCAAUGGGCGAAAGCCUGACGGAGCAACGCCGCGUGAGUGAUGAAGGUCUUCGGAUCGUAAAACUCUGUUAUUAGGGAAGAACAUAUGUGUAAGUAACUGUGCACAUCUUGACGGUACCUAAUCAGAAAGCCACGGCUAACUACGUGCCAGCAGCCGCGGUAAUACGUAGGUGGCAAGCGUUAUCCGGAAUUAUUGGGCGUAAAGCGCGCGUAGGCGGUUUUUUAAGUCUGAUGUGAAAGCCCACGGCUCAACCGUGGAGGGUCAUUGGAAACUGGAAAACUUGAGUGCAGAAGAGGAAAGUGGAAUUCCAUGUGUAGCGGUGAAAUGCGCAGAGAUAUGGAGGAACACCAGUGGCGAAGGCGACUUUCUGGUCUGUAACUGACGCUGAUGUGCGAAAGCGUGGGGAUCAAACAGGAUUAGAUACCCUGGUAGUCCACGCCGUAAACGAUGAGUGCUAAGUGUUAGGGGGUUUCCGCCCCUUAGUGCUGCAGCUAACGCAUUAAGCACUCCGCCUGGGGAGUACGACCGCAAGGUUGAAACUCAAAGGAAUUGACGGGGACCCGCACAAGCGGUGGAGCAUGUGGUUUAAUUCGAAGCAACGCGAAGAACCUUACCAAAUCUUGACAUCCUUUGACAACUCUAGAGAUAGAGCCUUCCCCUUCGGGGGACAAAGUGACAGGUGGUGCAUGGUUGUCGUCAGCUCGUGUCGUGAGAUGUUGGGUUAAGUCCCGCAACGAGCGCAACCCUUAAGCUUAGUUGCCAUCAUUAAGUUGGGCACUCUAAGUUGACUGCCGGUGACAAACCGGAGGAAGGUGGGGAUGACGCCAAAUCAUCAUGCCCCUUAUGAUUUGGGCUACACACGUGCUACAAUGGACAAUACAAAGGGCAGCGAAACCGCGAGGUCAAGCAAAUCCCAUAAAGUUGUUCUCAGUUCGGAUUGUAGUCUGCAACUCGACUACAUGAAGCUGGAAUCGCUAGUAAUCGUAGAUCAGCAUGCUACGGUGAAUACGUUCCCGGGUCUUGUACACACCGCCCGUCACACCACGAGAGUUUGUAACACCCGAAGCCGGUGGAGUAACCUUUUAGGAGCUAGCCGUCGAAGGUGGGACAAAUGAUUGGGGUGAAGUCGUAACAAGGUAGCCGUAUCGGAAGGUGCGGCUGGAUCACCUCCUUUCU
rnacentral:rRNA from 1 species